rnacentral:rRNA from 1 species
GACGAACCGAGCGAACGUUGUUCGGAAUUACUGGGCGUAAAGCGUGCGCAGGCGGUUGUGCAAGACAGAUGUGAAAUCCCCGGGCUUAACCUGGGAACUGCAUUUGUGACUGCACGGCUAGAGUGUGUCAGAGGCUGGUAGAAUUCCACGUGUAGCAGUGAAAUGCGUAGAUAUGUGGAGGAAUACCGAUGGCGAAGGCAGCCCCCUGGGAUAACACUGACGCUCAUGCACGAAAGCGUGGGGAGCAAACAGG